rnacentral:rRNA from 1 species
CAGUCGCCACGGUAAUACGAGGGGGGCAAGCGUUGUUCGGAAUUAUUGGGCGUAAAGGGCGCGUAGGCGGUUUGACAAGUCUGAUGUGAAAUCUCUGGGCUCAACCCAGAGUCUGCAUCGGAAACUGUCGAGCUUGAGUAUGGGAGAGGUGAGUGGAAUUCCCGGUGUAGCGGUGAAAUGCGUAGAUAUCGGAAGGAACACCUGUGUCGAAAGCGGCUCACUGGACCAUUACUGACGCUGAGGCGCGAAAGCUAGGGGAGCAAACAGGAUUAGAUACCCCCGUAGUCCCUGUCUCUUAUAC